ACCGAAUGCCAGUUUGCAUAGUGGAACCACACUUGUCAUCGGUCGUUACCUAAUGAACCAUAUUGGUUCGUGCUCGGUGGUGAGGCAGAGAAGUAGUCCGCCUCACAGCCUUUCUUUAGUGCCAAGGUCUAAAGUUAAUUAAAGACGAGUUGACUGUAGCGAAGUCUUAGAGAAAGUAGAAACAAAUAAUCUGAUUUGCCGAACGUGAUGCAUUGCUAGUGAACAGAAAUUGAGGCGUCAAUAUAGUAUAAUGCUUUCCAACCUGAAAAUGUCAGCGGAGCUCACGAAGAUUAUUUUUCAAGGAGGUACUUUCAGUGGACCCUAUAAGUACAGGGGGGCUAGCUUGAAAACAGUCAUUUAAGAUUUUCAUCAUUUUCCUAAAGAAAGUUCUGAACAAAAUCACGCGCCGCGUCGCUGCUAAGCAACUGUAUGGCAUAGAAUACGAAGUCCGUGUGAUCAACGGCUUCACAAACAACUCCUCACUACCUCUGGUGAUAUGGUGCGCGUCCAAAGACUGUGAUAUCGGCGGGCGUGCGCUCCAGGAGCACGAUGAUUUCAGUUGGCCCGUCAGGACCAACUUCUGGAUUACUACAACCUCUCAAUUCUCAUGCACUGUCAAGCUUGAUCGUACAAGGAAGAGUUUUGACGCAUUCAAGGUACCAAGAGAUAUAUAUCGCUGUAGUGCCCUCAGGAAAUGCACUUGGUUGGUUUUAGAAGAUGGGUUUUAUUUCAGUGACGACGAAGUAAACUGGAAGAAGGAUUUCUCGUGGUGAAGCACCAGACCAGCUAAGUUCACUCUACUCUGUUCUACUUCUUUACUAGUUUUACUUUUACUGUCAUGAUCUUGGCCUUUCCAAAGCUAGAUUCUAUAAUGUAGUUCAGGAAAGUAAGGCUAUUUUGUGUCAUGAAUAUGAGUGUAGCGAAGGAAUUUGAAUUCCCCGGUAAUCUUAGGGCAGUAUUUCCUAGUAAAGGUCACCUUUGUUUUUUUUUUUUUUGUACCAUGUACCUUUUGAGCUUAUUAAUAAUAAAUCAACGUUUGUU